rnacentral:rRNA from 1 species
CGGCAUGCUUAAACAUGCAAGUCGUACGGGCGGGGGUGACCUCGUCAGUGGCGGACGGAUGAGUAACGCGUAUGUAUCUGUCCUUGGGUGGGGGAUAACCUUGGGAAACUGCGGCUAAUAGCGCAUAUGUAGUGAGAGGCAAACGCCUGANAGGGUCGCCUGAAGGGUGAGCCUGCNUCCAAUUAACUGGUUGGUGGGGUAAUGGCCUACCAAGGCGAUGAUCGGUAGCGGGUCUGAGAGGAUGGUCAGCCGCGGUGGGACUGAGACCGGCCCAGAGUCCUACGGGAGGCGGCGGUGGGGAAUAUUGGACAAUGGGCGGAAAGCCUGAUCCAGCGAGGCCGCCUGGGUGAAUAAAGUCUUCGGAUUGUAGAGGCGUUUCGGCGGGGAGGAGUAUGACGG